rnacentral:rRNA from 1 species
GGAUUAGAUACCCUGGUAGUCCAUGCUGUAAACGAUGAAUACUCGAUGUUGGCGAUACACUGUCAGCGUUCAAGCGAAAGCAUUAAGUAUUCCACCUGGGGAGUACGAUCGCAAGGUUGAAACUCAAAGGAAUUGACGGGGGCCCGCACAAGCGGUGGAGCAUGUGGUUUAAUUCGAUGGUACGCGAGGAACCUUACCAGGGCUUAAAUGGUAUUGGACCGUUGCCGAAAGGUGACUUUCUUUUAGACUGAUAUCAAGGUGCUGCAUGGCUGUCGUCAGCUCGUGCCG